UGGCUACUACUUGUGCUGCUAGAUGUGUGUGCUGGUUCUGCUGCUGCUGGUUGCUUGUGUUGCUGUUAUGUGUUAUACUGCUACUACCUGCUGCUGGUUGCUUCUUUAUUUGGUUAAUUGUGACACUGAAAAGCCUUUCUGAAAAGCAAAAAUUGAAGAGAAGGCCAUGAGAUGAUGAGAUGACCUUCAUUUUCAAUUUUUUAUUUAAUAAUUGAUGAAGGAUAUGUCAUAUAUUCAGUUGCUAACAUUUUUUCUAUGGUGUAUGUACCUGUCGUUCAUUGCAUUCGAGGGAGAGGACAACAAGAGUAAGAGAGCCUUGGGACGCGAAGGCAGUAGCACGCAGCGCCAUGUCAAGCGCACUGACCUCGGCGACAAGAGACAGUACACUUAACAAGACUAAGAGAGCCUUGGGACAACACUGGACGAGGGCGUCGACUAAAGGAGCGCGAAGACGUCUUCCUCCAAAAUCUUGCCGAGGAUUUUGUUGCAACGACGCAGUGCUGACUAUUUUUGUUUUUGGAAUUUGUCAAUGAAAUUCUGCUCGAUCAGGUAAACCUUUUGUUUGGAUUGUCGGCCGCCUUGUCUGUAUUUGUAGAUACUGAUUUUGUUGUUUGCUUAAUGGCUCAUUAUUUCACAGGGUUCUUAAAUAUAUGUUCACCAAUUCAGAUGAACCGCUUCUUUUAUGUGCAUACUGGAUAUUGUCAUAUAUGUAGAAGGUUCUACAAUAUAUCAAAGCAAAACAAAACAGAGAGGAGGCUGGGGCUCGGGCAAGGGAGGCUGCGCUCCACCUCUGCAUACACAGAUGGAUGGAUGAUGAGCGCAGAUUCAGGCGCUGCAGCUCACCUCAGAGAUGCAUGGCCUAAAGAGGCAAAUCAUGCGUUAUUUUUCUUUGCCUUCUGCUUCCUCCGGCACUCUGAUUUUGAUUGACUAAUAUAUGGGCUUUCUAAAAUGUGUAUCUGCAAACCUGGGAAAGAAGAGAAGGGAAGAAGGGGAAUCUAGAGAACAAAGGUGAUUUCUCGCUCUUGUGAACAUGGUCAUGUAUUCUGAUGACAUGAUUUGUGUUGAUGUUCUGCGUAUAAUCAAGAAAUAAGAUAUGAGGACAAGUCUAGGAGAGAAGUAUGGUGAAAAGCAUUUUUUGCUUUGUUAAUGUGAGCUUGCUUAUUUGGUUGUGCUUGAUAUGUUGCCAACCUUUGUCCUUGUCUCCUCCAUGCACCUGUCGUGUUCUAGCCUAUAGUAGGUUGUACAGGCAGUGGGAGCGCCAUUGAAGACCAUGGGCGCAGCUUGGUCGAGCUACAAUGAGCGCAUCUGAUUCCAACACAUCAAGGUGAGCUUCACACAUAGUUCCCUCUUCUAUUUAUUUCAGGCAAUGAGGGAUCAGUAGACGCCUAAUCUUGUUGUAUGAAAAAUAGCUUUUCUUUGUCCAUGUUAUUAUCUAGGGAUGCCAACACAGAGAUGUUAUUGAUGCAUGUGAGCUGCUUUAACUGAUUGUAUUUUAGAAAUACCCCACGAUUUUGAAAACCAUAUAAAUGAGUUACUUGAGGGGUGUAAGAUCCCUUAUCAAAUUCUAUCAUUUGGAUCUAACUCUUGUUCCUUAAAACGCUUGCAGGGUUGCAUUGGAUAUUCACAGAACUCCAUAUCAUGUAGUUUGGGCAUAUCAUAUACAUUAUCUUCAUAGUUCAUGCAGUUUUAGGCUUUUAGCAGUAUGAAAAGUCAUAGAUAAUGUAAUGGUGACAUUUGGGCUUAUAUAAGUGUUAGUUGUCAGUCUCUGCCCGCAUGCAUUUGAAUGUUGCCUUGGCGACGAUCCUUAGGCUUGUCAAAAGUUGUGAAUCGAUAGGCAUUGACAAAAAAAGAUCUAAGCUCUAUGUUCUGAAAAACAGGUAGAGCAGCAGCUAUAGCACCCCUAGAGAGAUUGCGUUGAUUGAUUCUCAUCGUAUAUAUAACUCAACUGUUUAAAGUAUUCUAUAUACACUGAAAUCGUGCUCAUAAUUUUUUGAAGUAUUCUAUAUACACUGAAAUUGAGCUCAUAAUUUUUUUUAUCAUGUACCUUUUCUGCUAAAGAUCAUUACACUUCUCUUUCAUGUACAUCAAUGUUACUUCCAAAGAAGAGUCCCUCCUAGAGAACAGUUUCUUUUGUCAGAAGGGUGAGUGUGUUGUAUAUUUUAUUGUCCACUAAAUCAACUUCUUCUGGUUACAUAUUGUGACAAAAUUAAGUAGGCAUAGGCUUCUUCAUUGAUUCUUAUACCGAAACUGAAUUUGUAUUGUGUUAAUACAUUAUAGUCAUCCUUGAAGGACUUGUGUUUUAUUGCCAUGCAUGCUUAAUAAUUGCUUGCUGAAGCAUUGGUCCUAAUUUACCACGGGUUUCGCUGGCGUUGUGUUUUCUUUUUGUAUAUGGUUGCUGCAGUGGAGUCUGCGUAGAAGGUCUGCGUCAGGGUAUACAUGGGCGUCACCACCAGCCAGCUCGACGAGCUCGCCGCCGAGACCGCCGCCGCGCUCACCGCCUCCCAGCCUGACUAUGCCUCCCUUGCGGCAAGGAUUGCUGUGUCCAACCUGCCGCCAAGUGGAAAUAGUCUGUCUGGCGCUCGUAAAUAGAGAGCAUUCUGGUAGAAAGGUAUAGGAAAGAAUAUGUAAACUUCUGUCAUUUUCUUUGGUCUCUGGAAAAUAAAUGCUGAUAUGAGCUGAUAAAUUGCUAAAUUACAUGAUACAAACUCACUUCUCUUUUUUGAUUUUUGGUUUACUUCGUUUUGCUGCAAUGGCUCCCCUAGGAAUGUUCUUCCAUGCUUUGAUGUGCACAGUCCAGAAAGUGCAUGCAUCCAGAAACCAAAUAGGAUUUUGUGUGUGUUAUCUUCUCAUAAAUCUUGUGCUCGUCCAAUAAGAAUAAGGUUUGGUGGUAUUGCUUUUGUCUGUCACCGGGUAGAUUUCAGACUUCAAGGUUGAUUUCAUCUUGAAAUAAUCAUAGCUGGGGGACGAGGUUUGUAACUGAGGGUCAUGUGCAGAGCUGGAGGAAGAAGUUGCGAGGCUUGGAACCCUCCUUGUUGCGAGGCUUGGAACUUUCACUGUGAAGGGCUCAGGGAUAGCAGUGAGGAAAAUGCCUCUUUAGUUGUAAUUGUGCUACUCCUGAUGUGCAAGUAAACACUCCUGUGAUACUCUUUAUGCUAAAAUGUUGGUUCUUAGUACAGAG